AUAGUAAUGUCAUGAAUGAUAAAAGUUACAAUAUAAGUAUCAGAGCCUUAUUUUUACAUUUACUGUUACAGAAUAUAUAUUAGGUUCUUAAGAAGGUUUUUCAGAAGAGGUCCUUGAGAAGGUUUUUUAGAAACCAAAAACUAUGCCUCUCUAAGCCCCCUAUUCUCCUUAUCAAUCUCUAAAAAGCCUCCUUUUGUAUAAGAAAAAUUAUAUAAGAAAACUCUCUUGAUCCCCUAAAAUUCUUCCCUUGUAUCUGAAAAAAUUAUCCUUUGUAAUAUUCUCAAGUAUUUGAAUGAGAAUCAGUGCUUGAAAUAUUAUUCAAAAUUUUGAAGAAUCAGUGAGCGAGUCGCAGCAGGAUUUUUCCUGGACCUCCCUGUAUAUUUUGGAGAUGCUUUCAGCUGACAGGUAUGGAAAUUUGUAUUAGAAAGUAUGCUUAUGUGCAAGUUCGUUGUCUGGUUCGCUUUAUAUCCUUCAUAAAGUUGGUGCUGAAAUUGAAAGAGCAUGUGCAGCUUAAAUUAACGGUUUAGGUUUUGAGCAAGUAUUUUCCCAAUAUGAAAACCUUUGCCAUGCUGAUGACUUUGAUCAUGAACUUAAUUUAGAAAAGGCAGAGGCUAUAGCUGUUGUUCGAGAGACCUUGGAAUCUAAUGUAUAGUUUACAGACUCUGUUCUUGCUCAGGUAAAUAACUUAUAUAUCUCUAUAGUGAGUAUAACAAAUUGCUACAGAAUAAGUACUGGUUUUUCUUUGGUGCUAUGACAUGUUUUUGAUGUUAUUGAAUGAUGGCAUGCAAUGUGCAACUAAUUGGGGCGAUGAAAACCAUAUGCAAUUAACUGAGUUGCGUAGUUUAUAAUUCAUGGAGAAGAGAUAUUAUUCCCUUUUUAUCAGUUAUGCAGAGAUUAUUUUAUCAUGUAAAGGUGUUGUUUACCACAAUACUCUUACAAAUAUUGACAUUAUGAUAAAUGAGCAAAUUGAUUAGGUUCUGGGUUUGAUUGGUCCAAAUAAAAGUAUCAUUUUUCUAUGAUGCAUUGUAGGAUAGAUCAGGGGACUUAGUUCAAGAUUUUGUGUGUUUAAGAGGGGGCAAUGGUUCUAGCAAA